GACGUAGGAGGCGAGCGUUGUCCGGAUUCAUUGGGCGUAAAGCGCGCGCAGGCGGCCUUUUAAGUCUGACGGUGAAAUGCCGGGGCUCAACCCCGUGCCCGCCGGAGAUACUGGGAGGCUGGAGACGAGUAGAGGCAAGCGGAAUUCCGGGUGUAGCGGUGGAAUGCGUAGAGAUCCGGAAGAACACCGGAGGCGAAGGCGGCUUGCUGGGCUCAUGUCUGACGCUGAGGCGCGAAAGCGUGGGGAGCGAACAGG
rnacentral:rRNA from 1 species